rnacentral:lncRNA from 1 species
AUGCAGCCGUUGUCUACACUGUCGGGACCCUUGGGGUGCAGAGGCCAAACUCCGUGCGCCAGGGGCGAGGCGGCUUUUCAACGUUACUCAGAAAAACCAGCAUCAUACUGCGGCCCCAGGACCACAAAAAAUGUCUCCUGUGCAGUUGGCGGAACCGAGGGACACCUCGUCCUCGAGCGGGAGCCACGCCGAAGAGCGAACACACACCACACACACCGGAGCCUGCGGGGAAGGGCGUGGAGCCGCGUGGGAGCCGCGGAGGAGAGAAGGAAAGAGCACACUAGUACCCACCCCCCCCAGCGUGUUUGGGAAAAUGUUCGCAUCCGCACAGCAGGGGGGAGGAAACAGGAAACCAGGAUCAAGACACAGGAUUGGCCCAGCAUGAACGUCCAUCAGGAAGGCCUGGUGCUUCUCUCUAGGACGGGUGGUCUAAGCCUGCUGAUGUGGGGUUUUCUGUCACUUACAAUGCACAUUCCUAGAGGACACCACUGCCCAGCCCUGGGCUUGGUCAUGAACCUUUCGUGUGGACCACUCAAAAUACACUGGAGCUCAAACACGUAA